AAAAAAAAAAAAAAAAGCUGGGACAGGCUAAAAGCUAGGCUCCUGCACCAACUAGCCAAGUUGUGAAUGUGAUGAAAAAGUUAUUAAAGGAAAGUAAAAGUGCUACUCCCUUGAACACACUACUAAUAAGUAAAAGAGCCUUGUUGCUGGUGUGGAGUAUUAGUGGUUUAGAUGGAAGAUCAAACCAGCCACAACAUUCUCUUAAGCCAAAGCCUAAUCCAGAUCAAGACUUUAAUCCUCUUGAAUUCUAUGGAGGCAGAGAGAGGUGGGAAAACUGACAAAAAAAAAGUGUGAAGCUAGCAGAGGUUGGUUCAUGAGGUUGAAGGCAAGGAGGAGUAUCUGUAACAUGCAAGUGGAAGGUGAAAUGGCAAGUGCUGAUGGAGAAGCUGCAGCAACUUACCCUGAAAAUCUAGCUAAGAUCACUGACGAAGGUGGCUACACUAAAUGACAGAUUUUCAGUGUAGACAAAACAGUCUUCUCUUGGAAGAAGAUGGUAUCUAUAACUUUCAUAGAAAGAAGUCAACACCUGGCUUUAAAGCUUCAAAGGACAAGCUGACGCUCUUAUUAGGGGCUAAUACAGCUGGUAACUUUAAAUUGAAAGCAAGGCUCAUUUACCAUUUUGAAUCUCCUAGGGCCCUUAAGAAUAACUCUAAAUCUACUCUGCCUAUGCUCUAGAAAUGAAACAGGACAUCUGUUUAUAGCAUGGUUUGCUGAAUAUUUUAAGCCCACUAUUAACACCUACUAUUCAGAAAAAAGGAUUCCUUUAAAAAUAUUACUGCUCAUUGACAACACAUCUGGUCACCGGAAAGCUCUGAUGGAGAAGCACAAGGACAUAAGUGUUCUGUUCGUGCCUGUUAAUGCAAUAUAGGUUCCUGCAGCCAAUGGAUCAAGGAAUAAUUUUGAUUUCCAGUCUUAUUAUUUAGGAAAUAUAUCUCAUAAGGUUAUAGCUGCCAUAAACACGGAUUCUUCUGAUGGUUCUGGGCAAAGUACACUGAAAUAUUCUAAAAAAUAUUCGCUUUUGAGAUGCCAUUAAGAACAUUCAAGAUUCAUGGAAGGAGGUCAAAAUAGCAACAUUAACAGGAGUUUGGAAUAAGUUGAUUCCAACUCUCAAGAAUGAUUUUGAAGGGUUCAAGACUUCAGUGGAGGAAGAACCUGGAAAUGUGGAGGAAAUAGCUAAAGAACUAGAAUUACAAGUGGAGCCUGAAGAGGCAACUACAUUGCUGCAAUCUCGUGAUAAAACUUUAACAGAUGAGGAGUUUCUUCUUAUGGAUCAGCAGAAAAAGUGGUUCCUUGAGAUGGAAUCUACAUCUAGUAAAGAUACUAUGAUCCUUGUUGCAAUGACAACAAAGAAUGUAGAAUAUUACAUACACUUAGUUGAUUAAGCAGUAGCAAAGUUUGAAAGGAUUCACUCCAAUUCUGAAAGAAGUUCUACGUUAGGUAAAAUGCUGUCAAACAGCAUCAGGUGCUGCAGAGAAGUAUUUCAUGAAAGGAAGAAUCAAUCCAUGUGAUAAACUUCACUGUUUCCUCAUUUUAAGAGAUUGCCACAGUCACCCCAACCUUCAGCAACUACCACAACUACCACCCUGACCAGUACAAAGCCAUCAACACCGAGGCAAGACCCUCCACCAGCAAAAAGAUUAGAACUCAUUAAAGGCUCAGAUGAUUGUUGGCAUUUUUAUUUUAGCAAUAAAGUCUUUUUAAAUUAAGGUAUGCACGUCGUUUUUUAGAUACAAUGCUAUUGCACACUUAAUAGACUACAGUAUGGUACAAAAGCACAGCUUUUAUAUGCGCUGGGAAACAAAAAAUAGUGUGACUCCCUCUAUUAUGAUAUUUACUGUAUUGCAGUGGCUUGUAACUGAACCUACAGUAUCUCCAAGGUGUGCCUGUACAUCUAUAGGUCUUGCUUUAAGUGUACAAGAUGUGUAUUUACUAUUUUUUUAAAGUGUAUGUGUAUGUCUCUACGGAUAUUUGUAGACACACACCCCUGGAAGAAAUCAUACAAAAUGGGUAGUAUUUGCUAGUGAGAUUAUAGGUGCUUAUUAUUUUCUUCUUUGUCAUUUCCUGUAUUUCUCUAUUUUUCAAACAGAUGUAAAUAUAAGAAAAGGGUGGCGUCCCUGGCCAUGUGAGUGUCGAUGACUGACAUUGUACCAAUAACAUUUUUUUUCACCUGGGAACUGCCUGUUCUCUUCAAACGCUGGAUGAUAAAACCUUCAAAAAGAAAAGCAUCAAGGUUUGGUUUAUGCCCACCUAACAUUUCUGGAAAACUCCAGCAUCUAAUUGCUUCUUCAUAGGGGGAAAAAAAGACGUUAAGCCUCAAUGCACUAAAGAUUUUUAUAAAAAUCAAUCUUAUCCUUGAAGUAAAAUGCGACGUAGAUUAUCCUUUCUGCUAGAAGUUAUGGUAAUGACCUAUUGAAAUAUUCCUCACAAUACAGUAAUAUUACUUCUUUACCAGUUUGAAAAUAUUUUCCUGUAGAAAAGCACAAAGCAAGCUCCACCUAAAAAAAUAAAAUUACAUAGCAACCACAUUGAAAGUUUGCAGGAUUAGAACACUAGGACCUACUGAUUUUCUUUGUCCUGACACCUAAUAAUCCAGUUACAUUAAGAAAGGUGAGCUUAAUGAAGCAUAUUGAGAUGGGAGAACAUACGAUUUAUAGUGGACUUGUGGUUACAUUUCUAAAUGAAUCCCAUUAGCUCUAUAUUGGUUGCUGGUAAGUGACCACGUUUUCUAAUAGACAAAUGCAUGAAUCACCUGGGCAUAUUUUCCAAGCAUUGUCUACAAAAUGGUUCACCUUACAAAUUUAAACAAAGACCAGGUGAAUGACCCUCAUUCCUGAAGCGUAGCAGACUUCCUUUAAGCAAGAAACAGAAUUAUUGCAACCGAAUAUCCAUUCCAUCUCCUUAUAACUUAGCAUGCACAUAUAGCCUCAUCCUUGAGAUGGCAGGAAUCAAGCACACUGCUGACAGGAAUAUUCUUCUAAUAGUAUUACAACCAACAUUGUUUUCAAUGUGUUUUAUAAUUAUAAAACCUAUGAGUGUUUAUUGUGGAAAGUUUAGGAAAUUUCAAAAAGCACCAGAAAAGCUAACAUUAUUUCACCACCCAAAGAGAGCUCCAAGUACUAUUUUGUUGGAAGUCUAUCCACUUCAGACAUUUUCUACUGCAUAUAGAACUAAAACAUUAUAAGCACACAAUUGGGAUGUUACUGUAUAAGCUGCCUUCAUCUUUUGCACUUUGCAAUGUAUCAUGAACACUUUGUGCUGUAAGGACAAAAAAUGUACAAGGUCAGUUUAUGUAUUCCACUCUAAUGCUACACACUUUCUCUUUAUGUUAAAUAACACUGCAGUGAACAUCACUUCCUGAUGUUAUGAUAUUUUUCUCUGUGCCUUAUCUCAGGGUAGAUACCUAAAAGUGAAACCGAUGAGUCAAAAAAGUGGGCACCGUAUUUAAGUUUUUAGAUCUAAGGAACCAGAAUUCUAGAAGCUUACAUGAAUCCAUAUUCCCAGCAGCAGUAUGAAAGGGAACUCAUCUCACCACUGAGAACAAUUUUUGGCCAACUUCUUUCUCUUUCAAUAACCGUUUCCCUGGCUGGGUUCCCUCGCCUAUCCACCUGCCCCACUUGGGGCACCACACCAUCCCAUGCUAAAGUAGCAUAGAACAGCCCAGACAUAGAAAACAAAGGUGGUGAUGAGGAGCAAUUUAAAUCUAAGCUUAUUUAACAUAAGUGGCUGGUGGCUGCCCAUUUUGUCUUAAUUGCCUUUUAAACUAAAAUCAAUGUUAAAUUACCUGAACAACAGCUUCUGCACAAUUGCAAAGUGAAAAUUCUUUAAGUGCCUCCUCAAAAGCCUUUGGCUCCCGUUUGGGCGACUGACAGGAAAAGAGUCUUUUUCCUCUUCACUGUGUUAUAGCUUUGGACCACGGGAUAUGAUUAAAGGGUCCUGAAAACAGAUGUCACGUCCGCUCUGGGAUGAAUUACUAUUCCCUCACAUCGAAAUGGGAUUAAAGUGUUCGAAAUAGAAUCUGGAUAAUAAAAACUGGAUAAUAGUACUAUGAUGUCCCCAUCCUUUUCCCUCCCUUCUUUCCUUCCUUUUUAAUUUUCCCUCCCAUCAAGGAUAGACUGCAUACACAAAUGGACACUGGCAAGACCAUAUAGAAAAAGAGAAAUCUGACCCACAGUUUGCAGUAACCAGCCCAGGAAACCAGCUUAUUGUCUACAGGAAGCCAGCCUGCUAUCCACAAGUCACGAUUCAAGGAAGUCAGAUUACUAUCUCUAGUAACUGGUCCAGGAAGCCAAACAAAAAUCCACUGGCUCAGAAACAAUCAGGACUAGAUUCGUAACUGACAGCUUUCCUAAUUUUUGUCCACACCUCCAACUUCGGACCAAUCAGAGAAAGCCAAGUGUGCACCUUAACCGAUCACAAGGAACACCCCUUUCUACUUAGCCCAUCUGCAGCUUCCCCACGCAAACAGCCUCUAGCCAGGCCAUAUCUGAAGCUGUCCCUUUAUUUAUCUACUAUAAAAUUUUCCUACUCCUCUGCCUGCCUUUGAGUUUCUGGCAAAAUGCAAGUGAGGAUGUCUGACUCCUUGCUAUAGCAAGCUCUGAAUAAAUAGCCUCUGUUUAUUUUUAUUUGGUUGGUCUUUAUUUCUUCAAUAAAGACCAACCAAAUAAAAAUAACAGAAGCUAUGUUUUUUGUCAACAGGAUUAACAAAACAAGAGCCCUCAUGUAGCUUAUGUUCUAGUGAGGGAGACAGAUAAGAAACAAGGAGAUGACAGAUUUUUGCAACUGUUGGGUGGGAAAUAGCCUUGUGAUGAAAUGGGGGUGAGUCAGUGGAGAUACAUACCUUCGAUAAGAUGCUAGGGUUGUCAGCAUCCAUUAUUGCAUGAACUGACUCCUUUCUUUUGUUUCGUUCAAGGAUUAAUUGAGCACUUGCUGUCUGAUUUGUACUACAGAACUACAAAAAUGAGACAGACAUGUACCCUGCCAACAAAAAGCCUCGGAGGGUGAUCCAUGUUCACUAAUCACCAGAAAACAAAAUAGAUAAGUAGGCAGGGCUAGAAAACAAAGAUUCAGGAUAAGAGCUGUGAGAGCCAAGAGUCAGGAGGUAAAUUUUAUUUCCAUGUGUUGCAGGGCAUCCUGGGGUCCCCGGGCAGAAGACUAGGGGUACAUAGGGAGAGGUACAUAGGUAAUCAUGGGUGUUCCUCUCUGUUAUACCAGCAUACAUCUUGUAAAGGUGGAAGAGUUUCACCUGGAGAUAUCCCUAUAUGAUCAUGCUAUCUUCCUUACAACAAUUCUUCCUUGAGGGUCCUAAAUAAGAAACUGGGCCGGGCACAGUGGUUUACGCCUAUAAUCCCAGCACUUUGGGAGGCCGAGGUGGGUGGAUCAAAUAAGGUUGGGAGUUCGAGACCAGCCUGGACAACACGGUAAAACCCCAUCUCUACUAAAAACACAAAAAAAACAGCUGGGCAUGGUGGCGCACGCCUGUAAUCCCAACUACUCAGGAGGCUGAGACAGGAGAAUCACUUGAACCGGGAGGCGGAGGUUGCAGUGAGCCAAGAUUGCGCCACUGCACUCCAGCCUGGGCAACAAAGUGAGAUUCCAUUGAAAAAAAAAAAAGAAAGAAAGAAAAAAGAAAGAAGCUGGGCAGAGUUUGGAGAAUAAGAGAAUAAAAUGUCAUCAGAGAGAUGAUGACUCACACUUUCCCCAAAUCCCUUCACUCCACAGAUGUCAGCAGUAUGUCACCUCCCAAAGGAAACAACAGGAUGCAACAAGACCCCCAAUAGCAAUGACUGGAUUUGACUUGGGCCAAGUGCAGAAAUAGGGUCAACAUCUCACAUGCUUGGGGGCAUCCCUGACUCAGGGUUUACAGGAUGGGAAGGAAGCCAUCUUCUAGGGAUGGCUCUUGGGAUGUGCAGCCAGCAUCUCCACCACGUGUACCAUAGAGAUACCAAUCAUUUCUCCCUAACGCUGCAGGGUUUCUUAGAGACACUGCUUCUCUCACAGCCUGGCCUUCAUCGGUCCCUUGUCCAGGGACCUGGGUCAGACACAUGCCCCUACCUGGUCAAAUCAGAUUCUCUCCAAGAAAUGUGGAAUUGAGAAGUGGAUGGAAUGGUUAAGCUCAAGGGCUAGGCUGGGAAGAUCAGGUAAAUUUGUCGGUAGAGUCUGAUGACUAGUCAGCGAAACAGUAUAUAGAGAAAGAAUGGGGGGUGAUGGGAAAAGAACUCAGAGGAAUAGAGGUGGAGAGACAAGGAGAUAAAGAGAAAUCAGGAGUCUGUUUGGCCCCAGAGCCAGACAGAGACGGGGGAAGUUGUUGCCUUGGCUGCUGAAAGCUUUCUUCCUUCAUUCUAUUUCCCUUCCCUUUCCCUAUGUGCUUCUGAUGCAAGUCGACUUCCUGUGAAGUCCCAACCACACUCUGCAUCCCUGCUAGAAUCUCCAGACACAGCUGGGAUUGCACAAGACAUGGCCAGCCUGCAAAGGAGUCUCCAGAUCCCUUUGCCUUGAAGAAAAGCAAAAUACCCCAAUGCUGAGAUGAAUAAACCUCUUCCCUGUGGCUCAUGGUCUUUCAUGAAGCAUAGCUGGUGGGCCAGCCUGUCAGAAAUACAAUCCCAAUACUGAGAGCUAACAGAAAUACAAAUUCUCUGCCACUAGAGGUUUUUUUUUUUUUUUUCCAAUUAUAAGCAUAAAGAUAUCUUCCUACCUGAGAAUGUCACAGAAAUAUAAUUGAUGGAGUCAUUCUUUUAACAUUACUUACAUGAAUGCCCAUUGCAUUCCAGAACUCUUUUAGGCCUGGAGAAUGCAAAGUAGAAUACGUUUACUGGAGAAGGAAAAUAACAAACAAGUAUUAUAAUAGAAACUAGUAGUAUAAUUAUCGUACUAGAUGACAGAAUGGAAUAAAUUGUGCUAUGCAUCUACUUGGUAGAGGAUGCCUCUUGUUCUAACUAAAGGCAAAGGGCAUCUUUCAGAGAAUUCAAAAGGUGAUGAUGCUUGAGUUGGAUCUCCAAGGAUGCAUAGCAGGUUGUUCGAUAGUCAGGGGAGAAAGGCAUUCAAACCAUAGGAAACAGCUUAUGCAAAGGUGCAGAGAUGUGACUGGGUGAACUGAUGGAAAGGGUUGAUGUCUGAAGACCAGGCAGGGAAAGGGGGCACAGGUAAGAUGAUAAAGGGGCCCAUGUGUCAUGCCAAGAAAUUUAGAUUUAAUUCCUCUAUAAGAAAAUGGAACAGUCAUUGCUAGGAAGGCUACCCUCGUGUGUGCAGAAAGGAACACUGGAAGCAGGAAGAGCCUCUGGAAGAUUAUUUUAUUGUAUCUUAGCCUAAAAGAUGAUGAGGGUUUGCACAAAGACACAGCAGUAACGGUAUAAUGGAAAAGAGGAUUUGGUAAAUAUUUGAUAAAUAGAAUUGACAAGACUCACUGAAAGAAACACUAGAAGACAUGUAUAACUGGAGGUGUUAAAAAAAGGAUAAAAACAAGUGUAAAAGAAGCCAAAAAGUCAAGGCCAACUCCUAGAUCACUGUUACAAGUUAUUGACUAAAUGGUGGUAUCGAUGACCAGGUUCAGGGGCAUCAGACAAAUACCUGGGAAAGAUAAGAGGCUCAUUUUGACCACAUCAAGUUGGGUAGGGGCUAUGGAAGCUCCAGAAAGAGUUACACAAGAGGCAACUGGAUAGAUAUGUGUUCUACUUGGAGGAGUGGCUAAAGGCCAACUGGAAUUCAUGCACAUAGAGAGCUGAAGGUCAUCUUGGAAGAAUAGAAAGACUGACAUAUUUGCACUAUUCAUGUCCAAGCCAACAUAGGAGAAUGCAGUUGCUAAUCAACUUUUAAAACUCAUUUGAAUAAAGGCACUGAUGAUAAAACUGUGCCAUCAGUAAGCUUUCAUAUAUCAAUAUAGUCACACAUUUAAUAUCCAUGACUAGUUUAUACCUACGAAAAUGAAUUGAGAUGGUCAAAUUCCAGCAAUAACAAACUGUUACUGUAAAAAUGCCUGGAUCAAAUGUUACUUGUUAAACCUACUCACCUUCCACCUAUCCAGACAGGACAUAAAGGGACAUAUUCUCUAAGACAAACAGCCAGCCCUACCUGGAUGCAGGAAUUUCAACUAGAGGCAGUAUCUAAAUCUGGUUUCUAUAUACUCUAUUUUAAAUGAAUGAGGAUACAGUGGCAAAGCAUUCUGGUUAAAGAAAUGUCUAUCAGGCACAAAGUAGAUACUUAAUGACUGUUUGAUAACUAUGAAUUAAGUUUGAAUAGGACACUGGAUUACUUUGUUGUCUAGAAUGAGAGCUCAGUUAACAUCAUAAACUCUUUAUCACCAGUAAGAUGGCAGUUCUUUACCUGCUUACAGAUUGGUCAACAUGAAAUACAAUAUAGGAUUGUAAGGUUCAAAUCUACUGCCCUAUAGGUCUUGAAGGGAACUGUAGGAUUCCUAACUCCCACUUAGUGAGCCCGUGAGAUAAGAUGGUACUCUUGGAUACAGAGAUGCUUAAAUAUUCCUUUUGCAGGAAGCUCAAAGUUCCGAUUCUGAGAAUCACUUUUUAAUCUUACUCAAGUUACAUGCAUUCAACUAAAACAUGAGGAGGUAAGAAAACAGGAGGAGGAAAAAAUGUGAACGUUGCCAGUGAUUCCACCGGCUAUCAAAGCAGUGAGCAAGCCUAACACAGGAGAUGUGAACAUGCAUUUGUUCUUGAGUGCUGAGAUACCUCCGAGCAUUUGCAUCUCGUCUCACCCCGUAUUUGUCUUGUUUUCAAAGCUAACUCUUUUUCGCAUAGUGCACGUGGCCCUUAAAAUCACGCCAAUUCCUCAUCUGGUGCUCAAUCAACGAAGGAAAUCCAGCUCAGACCUGGAGAAAACUUGUCUAUGUGGGUCUCUUAAAGAAAUGAUAGGGUAGGCUUCAACUGGAGACUUUCCAGAGGGAUUGUCAGUGGGAUCAUUUGAAUCCCAUACCUUGGUUGUAACUUGAGAAAGUCACUGGCUUGUGAGAGGCAACAAUUUCAGUACUCUUAUUAGGUUUGGCAGCAUUACAUUAUUUUCCCUCUACUUCUCUAUAUUUUACUCUGCACUUUCUUUUUUCUUGACUCUAUUUUCUUUUCUACCAGGAUCUCUUCAAUAUUCUUUUGACAGAACUCCAAUGGUUCAGGUUGUAAUGCAGCAUCAUAUACUCUCUGUCUGAAGUUCUUGUUGCUUGUGUACUAAGAAAAGACCUUCCCAGGGGUCAAAGAAAAAAAUGCCUUGACCACUUCCAAUGCCUGGGGCUUCUGGUUCCUAAGAAAAGAGAAUUUUAGCCAACAGAAAGUACCAAAAUGAAAGAAAUACGUGCCAAAUGUUUCUUAUAGCAAUGCUUAUUUUGGCAGAAGAAAAAAAUACACAAAUCCAACGAAGAAUUAAUCUAAAGAACAUCAGUGGAAGGAUGGCUGAACAAAUAGUGACGCAUCCAUACUAUGGAAUACUAUGCAGAUAUGUAAAAGGAAAAGAUGCAUCGUGUGAAACAUUCAACAUACAAGCCCCUGGCAUUAAUCCAGUCAAAGCUUGCCCCACCAAAAGCUAAUACAGGCUGUUUAACAAAGCAUAAUUAAAUGUACUGAACAAUGAAAAUAUCCAUAUAAUUACCACAAAGCUGAUAUAAUUGCAUAUGUCCUUUUAUUGGAUGAUAUUACUGUCCCUACAUAAGCACAAAGAUAGCUUAAACAGAACAGCCCUCCAUUCUCUUCAGUUCACCUAAAAUUAUCCCAUUAAUCUGCAGAUUGCCACUGAGAAAAAAAAUAAUCUUCCAUUAAAGAUUUCUGUCAAAACAAAAUCAUGUUAUCCCUAUGGGGAGACAUAAGCCAUUCUUAGUUUGAACAAAAAAGACAAAGUUAAAAUUCCACAUCACAAUAAAACAUUUCUGUUUUAUCCAGCCACACAAGUGUUAUGGUUGGAUUAGUUGAUAUGACAUUGUUUAAUGUGAAGAAAUACAAAACAAGUAAAAUUAGCCUGAAAGAUCAUGGAUGGGAAUAUAGUUAAAUAAAU
rnacentral:lncRNA from 1 species